GUAGUUCAGACUACAGGUGCAUGACAUCAUCCCUGGCUAAGAAAGGACUCAGCCAAUUCUGAUCAGCAGGCAGCAGCCAUUACCUUCCAAAGGUCAGCACAGUUAGGUGUGGUGACAGACACACUUGGAGGUGCCACAGCCUCCUGCGUGUCCUUGUACUCCUUGUCCAUUUGGUCUUCUUCACUGUGGGGCAUCUUCCUGGCCAACGAUAGCUCCAGACCAUCUUCAGGUGCUUGGCUGAAAACCCACAGAAGAAAUAGCUUGCUGUAGAUGUCUCCUCUGCCUUCAGGGACCAGCUUUGGCAACGCGACAAGCUUGAUUUCUCAGACCGGCUAAUUGGUGAUUCCUCCGCUCUGCCAACUUCCCUCUGAUACCUUCGCUUCUCUAGCUUCUCCCGCAACUGGCAAGGUCUCGUUCCUGUAAUAGAUCUCUCAUCCCAUGACCCAUUCUGGUUCUGCCCACCUGACGAACCCUGGAGGAUGCCCCUGAGUAUUACCAUCUGCUGCAGUGGGCAAUGUUCUCUGUCCCUUGAGUUUAUGAAAUUUCCGUCUUAUUCCACUUCAGAGAAGUAGAGUGUGUUCUAGCCCAGGAAGGACACUCACUCUGAUUUUGGCAGGUUCUAAAUCUGUCAUAACCUCACACAUCCAGUUAUUCAUGGACAAGGGAACAUGAGCUCAGUCUGACUUUAUGUUCUGCUUUUGGAGAGAAAGUGGGUGACCUGAUGUGUUUCUGAGAAACAAGUCUAGGGAGGUGUGUGCCCCACUCUCUGCUCGCUGCAGAUGUCCCCAUUGCAAGCACAUUUGUAUCCCAGUGCUUGUCUUCACCUUUAUGACGUCCUCCCAGGUGAGAAAUCACCCAAGUGGUCAUGGCCACCUCCCACUAUUUCAGUGUUCGGGGUUUUGGAAAUGAUUUACUGACAUUGCAUCAGAGCAUAGUAACAUUUAAUCAGGGGCUGGCUUUCUCAAGGACAAAUAUUUUCUGCCAUCAGUUCCUAAGCAGAAGAGGCCAACAGCAUCUGAGGAUCCCUUUGUCUGGGUUUCUGGCAGUUACCUCCCUUCCCAGGGUGAACAGUGACUCCGUUGCGCAAGGAUUGACUUAUCUUCCUGCCCUGUGUUUCUGACAUUGUGAACAAAGUUUCUGGGGAAGUAAACUUUAUGUUUAAACCAUGUUUAUGUUAAGCUUUAUCUGUUCAAAAAUCAAAUAUAUAUAGCUGAUCAUAAAAUAAUGACUUAUUAUAGAAAAUGCGAACAAAUAUAGAAAUGUUUUCAGUGGAACAUAAGUCACUCUAGAUCUCUCAACCCAGAAAUACUGCUGUCACUAUCUUGAGCAUUUCAGUCUCAUCUCUGGAAUAUAUUUAUAUAUAUUCAUGUCUUACAAAAUUAGGGUCAAAUUAUAUCUACUGAGGAGGCAGCAAACUUUAAAAAUAAAAUAACCCCUGACUCACAGACUGAGGGAAUAAUAUACUUUGAAGAAGUGAGAGAAAAAAAAUUAUGUUGGUGUCAGGGUUGUUUUUCAGAUAAUUCUGAAGAUGGUGGCGGGAGCAUCCUAUCAGCGUCUUGCUUCUCUAAAGUCCUGGACGUGGUGACGGAUUAUUGGCACAAUAAUGCUGUGUAACAGACAACUUCACAGUGUCAGUGUCUUGUAGCACUUCACACAAGGCUGUGCAGGCCACUGGGCUCAGCUGCACGGGCUCUAAGCGGCAGGGUGGCCUCCGACGUGCCCCGCAGGCUCCUCCUCCUUUGAUCAGCAGCACCUGGACGUGUUCUCCUGGUGAAGGGCCAGAGCCCAGGAGCGGAGCCAACUGUACGCACAAGCAUAUUGCAGGCCUUUGCCCACACCUCACUGCUAAUGAUCCAUUGGCCAAAGCAACAGUCACGGCGUGAGGAAACGCCCCUCAUCUACAGCAGGCACGAGGGGAGGAGAAAACCAUCCCGAUGGCCACACAGGAGGAGCUUGUUUUCCAUCCCCGUGAAGAGCUACGGCUUUGGCAAGAGUUGCAGGAGCUGGUUUGGCUUGGAAUGAGCUGCAAAGAGGGCUUGCUUUAGCACCAGGCAGUUUCUCUUUCUUUCUGUCCUUGAAGGCAGAACCAGCUCCUCUUUUUCUGUGUCUAUAUCUCUGGCUCCUGCACAGGGGGUUUGGCUCGCCGUGAGGACACAUUUGGUGUCAAAUAGAUUUAUGUUCUGGAGACCUUUUUCUUCCAGGGCAGCCUUACCUCAUCAGAAUGCGGAAGGGACCUGGCUCAAGAGGUCCCAGUAUCGACGACAGCAGCCAAUAUUUUAGACAAAUCUUUUCCUUGCCUCAGCAGUGGCGGCUCCAUCCUGAUUUUAUAAGACAGGAGCAGGUCUGCAAUUAAUGCCCGUAAAUCACAGGUGGCUGGAGCAGACGCCUCCAUUUCGAUUCCUGGAUAGGCUGUGGUCUCACAUCAUCAACAGCACAUGGCUGGGGCUCAAAUGACCAGUCUCAGAUGACCCGAACUCACAGGGAGAGGCCUGCAUGGGCUCUGCUUCCAUGGACGCCCUAGGUGUGCUGUGGCUGCGCCCUGGGGAGCCUUCUCUCUCACUAUUCCUUGGCAGCAGAAUGGGUUGUCAUGGCCCAGUCCUGUCACACUUCCAAGCUCCUCUGUGUCCUCUGUGACCCCUGUCCCAUGCACGGGAUGCACAUCCUGCCCUACAGUGCAGGGCUCCUGAGCACACUAUGGACGAGGCUGGGUGACUCAGGCUCACGGGAGCCCCAGCAUGGCCCCUGUGAUAUUGUGAACCCCAUUUCCCGGCACAUGACUCCUGAAAUCCUUAGCAACUCCACAGUGAUGCCUUUUUGUACAGGAAUGAAUGACCUGCUGGCUGGCAGCCCCUAGGGAGGGUAGAGCAGCUUAUGAGAAACAUCUAGGCAGGAUUAGAGGUCAGGACUUUCAACUCCACCCCCCAGCCUGGAGGUUGCCAGUGGUUUAAUCAGUCGUGAAGCUUCCAUAAAAACCCCGAAGAACUGGAUGCCAGGAGCUCUUGGAUGGCUGAACACGGGUUGCUUCUUGGAGGGCGGUCCCUGGGGAGGGCAUCGAAGCUUCGUGCUCCCUCUCCCGUACCUCCCCCUCUGCAUCUCUUCAUUUGUGUCCUUCGUAAUCAACCACUAAAGGUAAGUGUUCCCCAGAGUUACGAGAGCUACUCUAGCAAAUUCAUCAAACCAAAAGGAGCCAUGGGGACCCCAAUUUGAAGCCAGCCAGUCAGGAGUUCUGGAGGCCCCGCACUCGUUCCUGGUAUCCAGUGGGGCUGGGGAGGGGGGUAGUCUUGGGCACGGAGGCCUCACCCUCGGAUCUGAUGCUACCUCCAGGUGGACAGUAUCAGAACUGAAGUCGGGGACACCCAACUGGUGUCCGCUGCAGAACCGAUUGCUUGUGUAUUGUUGGGGAGAAAUCCCCACACAUUUGGCCAUAGAAGUCUUCUGUGUUGAUUGUUGUAGGGUGAGAGAAUAGAAAAAGCAUUUUGGGCUUGUAUGGGAGCUUUUUUCUAUUUUUACAGCCCCAAACAGGAGUGGGGGUUGUAGGGAAGAGGUGGGCGGAGCCUGCUGCAAGUUGCAGGGCUGUGUCCCAGCAGUGCUGGGAGGGGAUUGUGUGCACUUGUCCUGGGAGGGGGUCCUGGCACAGGAGCCAGCACCAAAGGGUGACAAUUCUUACCCUUUACCCCACAGGGCAGGGAUGCUCUAAGUUUGUCUGGCAAACCAGCUAAUCCUCCUACACACUGAACCUUAGGGUCUCCGCCACCCUCCCCUACAGCAGGCAGUUGGCAUCUGGUGCACAUGAAGGGGCAUCUGAAGACCUCAUCUCCGGGGCAUCCUCAGCCACCGCACCAGAAGUGCCAGGUGUGGCCAGCUUGGUGUGGCUGCCAGUGGAAAGUCACAGCCCCACCACUGGUAGAACCCAGGCUGGCAAUCUGCUGAGAACCUCAGAUUCACAAGAGGCUCACGGGAGGGAAAGCAGAUUUAGGACCCUUCAAAGAGCUUUUCCUGGAUCAUCUGUGAGGACUUUU